GUUUUUUGGAUCUAAUAUUUGUAACCAUGCUUUAACCGAUGUUCAAAAUUCAAUGUUACAAAACUAUGAUUUUGAAUAUAAAUUUGGCAUUAUCUAGAACAAGAAUAUUUAAAUUUUAUUGCAUAGAGAAUCAUUUAAAAUGGGGAGAUUUACAAAACUACCUUUUUUUACUACCUUUUUGCAACAAUACCCUUUUAUAUUGUUCAUUUUUAAAAAUAUCCAUUCCCUUGAACAGAAUGACCAAAUUACCCUCAUCUAUUAAGAACAUGUAAUUGGAAACUGAAAGUUUCCCGCCAAAUUUUUGGCGCUAAAAUUUAUUUUUCCCGCCAAAAAAAAAUUCCGCCAAACUUUUUUUCCCGCCAAAAAAAAAGUUCCCGCCCAAAAAAAAAUUUCCGCCAAAAUUUUUUCUCGUAAAUGUUUUUUCCCAGCCAAAAAAAUGCUUUUAAAAAUCCUUGUAAAUUUUUUAUAAACUCUUUUAAAAAACCUUGUAAAGUUUUUUAAAAGCUUUGGUAGUUGCUAAAAACCCUUGUAAAUCAUUUUAAAACCUCUUAAAAUCUUUAUAAAGUCUUUAAAAACAUAGGUAAAUACUUUAAAACCCCUUUUUAAACCUUUGUAAAUUA
rnacentral:sRNA from 1 species